rnacentral:rRNA from 1 species
UAAUACGAAGGGGGCUAGCGUUGCUCGGAAUGACUGGGCGUAAAGGGCGUGUAGGCGGUUUGUACAGUCAGAUGUGAAAUCCCCGGGCUUAACCUGGGAGCUGCAUUUGAUACGUGCAGACUAGAGUGUGAGAGAGGGUUGUGGAAUUCCCAGUGUAGAGGUGAAAUUCGUAGAUAUUGGGAAGAACACCGGUGGCGAAGGCGGCAACCUGGCUCAUUACUGACGCUGAGGCGCGAAAGCGUGGGGAGCAAACAGG